rnacentral:tRNA from 1 species
UAAAAGAUAAGCUAAUAUAAAGCUUUUAGGUUCAUACCCUAAAUAUAAAAUAAUUUUUUCUUUUAA